rnacentral:rRNA from 1 species
GUCUUCUUGAUUAAUAAUUGAAGUCUGGCCUGCCCACUGAUAUUUUAAUGNCCGCAGUAAUUUGACUGUGCAAAGGUAGCAUAAUCAUUAGUUUCUUAAUUGGAAGCUGGAAUGAAUGGUUGGAUAAAAAAUUAACUUUCUUUUUUUCGUUUUAUUAGAAAUUUACUUUUAAGUAAAAAGGCUUAAAUUUUUUUUAGGGACGAGAAGACCCUAUAGAAUUUUAUUUAUAUUAAUUUAAUUUUUUAUUUAGAAUUUAUUUACUUAUUUAAUAUAAGUUUGAUUGGGGUGAUCAGAAAACUUUUUAAACUUUUCUAAUUUGUUACAAUUAUUUUUGUUUAUUUGAUCCUUUAUUAGAUUAUAAGAAUUAAUUACCUUAGGGAUAACAGCGUAAUUUUUUUUAGAGUUCUUAUCGAAGAAAAAGUUUGCGACCUCGAUGUUGGAUUAGAAUUUAUAUUUGGUGUAGGGGCUUAAAUUAUUAGGUCUGUUCGCC